rnacentral:rRNA from 1 species
GGACCCGCACAAGUAGUGGAGCAUGUGGUUUAAUUCGAAGAUACGCGCAGAACCUUACCAACACUUGACAUGUUCGUCGCGACUCUAAGAGAUUAGAGUUUUCGGUUCGGCCGGACGAAACACAGGUGCUGCAUGGCUGUCGUCAGCUCGUGUCGUGAGAUGUUGGGUUAAGUCCCGCAACGAGCGCAACCCUCACUUUUAGUUGCCAUCAUUUAGUUGGGCACUCUGAAAGAACUGCCAGUGAUAAGCUGGAGGAAGGUGGGGAUGACGUCAAGUCCUCAUGGCCCUUACGUGUUGGGCUACACACGUGCUACAAUGGCAUCUACAAUAGGAAGCGAGGUGGCGACAUCAAGCAAAUCCUAAAAAGAUGCCUCAGUUCGGAUUGCACUCUGCAACUCGAGUGCAUGAAGCUGGAAUUACUAGUAAUCG